ensembl:lncRNA
UCUGGAAACAAAGUUACUGCCUUCAACAAACGUGGGAGUUUUAACUUCAUUUCCUACAUAAUACCUGUUCAAGGAGUUCUUUAAGAAACACCUACAAUACAGAAGUGUUGAGGGGAGAAGAAACCUCUGCUGAAAUCCUGGCAUACAGGAAAGUGAACAAAAGGCAAGGUGAGCAUGAUCAGCUAUCUCAUAUACUCAAGGAGCCCUCUCCACAGAGAAGAAGGCAAUUGAAAAUGGGAUGCCAUGAGAUAUCUUAACAGCAUCAGGCCUUGAGGAUAGAGAAUUGCUCAGCUGUGGACUUAAUGUUAGACAAACAAAAGAAGAGGAGGAGGAAUUCCAAAAAGCAUGAAUCACAGCAGGGCUGAGGCCACACUGGGG